ACCCUGACAGUCGGUACCAAUAAAACCCAGAAACUGUUGGUUUUGAUCUAUAUCAUUCUUUGAAAUACCUAUAUUCAGGAGAACCGGAGGGACUAAUGUAAGAGACUCAUAUUCAUGCUGAAAAAUGGGAAGUGUAGAAGAGCUAACAGAGGGGGCUGAAAUAGAUUUAAGUUUUUGAAAACUUUUGAUUAAACAAGGAGGACUCUUGUGUUUCCAAUAAUUGGAUGUAGUUAUUUGAAGAAGGAGGCUAGACAAGAUAAACCAGAGUUGGUGAUUAGAAAAUUGGGAGCAACGGAAAAGAAAUCUAUCACAAAGAUAUUGGCGUCGUAAAUGGAGUGGAGGCUCGACACACUCAACUUGCAUAGCAUUGAUAGGGCUUGAAUUCAUGGCACCACAAAUUAUCCUCAGGGCUUUAGAUUGAAUGCGGUCUAGUUUUUGGAAUCCAGCUACAUAUCCAGGCUCUAACAAAAAUGUCCCAUAAUCUAAAAUACUUCUUAUUAAGGCAUUGUACAUUAGUUUCAUACAAAAAUGAUGUGAACCCCACCAAACACCAGAAACACACCUAAGGAUAUUAAUAUUUUUUUCACAUUUAGAAACUAUGUACUCACAAUGUGGGAGGCCUGUUAAUUUACUGUCUAAUAUGACACCAAGGAAUUUAGUUUUAUCUUUUACUGAAAUGAAGUAAUUAUCAAAUUGCACCUUGAUUGGAGGAGGAAAUAGCUUUCUAGUAAACAAAACCACAACACUUUUAGGAACAGAAAGUUCUAAGCCAUUAAAAUCUAACCAUGACUUUAAGAAACCUAAGGAACAAGUGACGGAUCUACUGGCCUGUUCAGGAGAAAGAUUUGGUGAGUAAAGUAACAAAUCAUCAGCAUACUGUAAGACCCUAACUGUACCAUUUAGAGAUGACUCUAAAUCAGAUGUAUAAAUAUUGUAUAACAAUGGACUUAAUACAGAUCCUUGUGGUAGUCCUCUCCACACUAAACGAGAAAUUCUAUUGUUGUCGUCUAUAAGAAGACUAAUGGACCGUUCAGAUAAAAGGAAAUACAUCAUCAGCUACUUCUGUGAUCACCCUGGCCAAAGCAACCGAGCAGCCAACUAUGUCAGUAUCAUCUAAACUAGGCAAAAACAACAAUUUCUUCUCUACACAGCUUUUGAAAUUUUCCCAGUCAGCAUUACAUAAAUUGUAUUUAAGCCUAGGGCUAGGUUUCGGAGAUGGACGUGUAGAUGAAGGAAAUGAGAGUAUAAUUGGAUAAUGAUCACUACCAAAUGUAGAAUCAAGAGUUUGCCAGGUGAAAGAAGAUGCAAGUUCAGCAGAGCAAAUGGAUAGAUCAACAGCGCUGGGUGAUUCUGUAGGCGCUGUACGGCGAGUUGGAGAGCCAGUAUUAAGAACACAAAGAUUGUGAUCAUCUAAGAUUUUUAAAACACGAAGUCCAUUAUAAUUGGAUACUGAACUGCCCCAAAACUGAUGAUGUGAGUUGAAAUCUCCUAGAAUCAACAAGGGCCUAGGUAGAGAGGAAAUUAUGUGUUCUAAUUCAUUAAAAAUAAAAGAUGAUUGAUGAGGAAUAUAUACAGAGAGAAUGCAGAUGUUAUUUACAAUGGCAGCAACAAUUGAGAAAUCAUCACUGUGAGAUGGAAGCUGUACAGAUGAAAAUGAUUCAGAAUUCCUGACGAGUAAAGCUACCCCGCCCCACCCAUCAGGACGGUCCCCUCUGAGGCAUGAAUAGCCAGUAGCUCUGAGAAGAGCUCCAGGCUUGAGCCAUGUCUCAGAUAGGGCAAAAACACAUGGAUUAAAUUUAUUUAAUAAAUGAAUUAAAUCAUGUUUUUUAUUGA